AUUGUUCAUCAGCUCUAUGAACAGUACCUAGCUUUAGCUACAGUGUCAGCUUCACACCAUCAACGCACGGCUGAGGGGAGGUUUAAUUAAUACAUGGAUCUGGGAGAAGAGUUUUUACAAGACUUCCUUGCCUAUUUUGUACGGCAUUAUCAUCAUUUUUCAGAGGGCAAUAGCACUCGGCUUUUGACUUCUCCUACAAGCCUAAUCGCUCAACCACACAAAACCAGACUCAUUUGUUUUCCUACCCAUUUGCUUUGUCUCGGCAUCCUCACUUCUCCUAUAAGCUCAAUCACUCAACUCACAUUUGAGGAAAGGUUCUCUAAUUCUUCCGACUCCAACCACUGCUUCUGCCAAGCCACAGAUCCUCUGAUUCCUCUGACCACCUCUUCCUUUACUGUAGGGAUCAAGGAUUGAUGUUGAAUUAUGGUGAAGAGAAGGAGAAAUGAUACGUAUUCUUUUAGAAGAAAGAGACAGAAUAAUCAACCUCAAACUAUAGGAGUUGCUGCCAUUGGCAUUGCUAGAGCAAGGAACCAAAGAGGUUGAGAUUAGUGCUGGAUAUCCACAAUCUUUGGAAGUAGUAGACUGAACGGAGUUAAAGAUGAAGAGAAAGAAUGAGGGUUCAGAUGAUCUUUCCAUAAAGAGCUCAGAUCUUUUUGUACUUGAGGGAUUUGUUAUUCAACUAGAGUCCAGCCAAAAGAAGUGCAAUGUACUAGCAGGGGCAUCUCACCAGUAGAUUUCGAGCUGCCUUCUGUCAUUAUUUAAAUUGAAACUAAUGUAUGCUUACAACUGGCGAUAUAUAUAUAUAUAUAUAUAUAUUAUAUAUCCAUUGAUAGGAUGUCUUUUUAAAGGAUGGCGAUAUGGAAGGACACCUUGAGCAUUGUGCAAUGAAAUCUGUAACCUAUGCAUUGAUUUUUUGCUUUUCCUAUAUCAUAAAUAAUAUGAUAGCAUGCAAUAUAUUAAGGUUACAUAGUUUAUCCAUCAGUUAGUUUCUAUUGCACAAUAAUAUUUUUCUGUUUGCUUUUUAAAAAAGGUCCCAUCAGCCUGUUUUGCCCUCUUUCAUGGUUCGUAUUUGAUACACAGGACUUAACUCAUUACAUUGUAUCAAUGGAUGGGCUGAUCUCACAUGUUCUCUUGCCUAUUUUGACCAGGACAUGCUUCAAAUUACACUGAUAUUCUUGCAUGUUCCUACCUCGAUUCCAUUGAUGCAUUGCUGGAUUUGUUUUCUUCUCUCAGUUUGUUCUUUCCAAUAUUUAUCUGUUGUUUUGAUUGGCAUCAUGACUCGUGACACAAAAGUUCCUCUUCAACUUUGUUUGGUGAUAUAAAUAGGCAAGUUGCUUUUUGUAAGCCA